UCAUUGUGAUCUGAACAGGCGGUGGACAUAUAAAAGGUCCAUGCAGCCGGGCUGCAAUUUUUGCGGCAGCAGAGUAUGUAAAUAAUAAGGGCAUACCUGUGGGACAGUU
rnacentral:ncRNA from 27 species